UACGUAGGGUGCAAGCGUUAAUCGGAAUUACUGGGCGUAAAGCGUGCGCAGGCGGUUUUGUAAGUCUGUUGUGAAAUCCCCGGGCUCAACCUGGGAAUUGCGAUGGAGACUGCAAGGCUAGAGUUUGGCAGAGGGGGGUAGAAUUCCACGUGUAGCAGUGAAAUGCGUAGAUAUGCGGAGGAACACCGAUGGCGAAGGCAAUCCCCUGGGCCUGCACUGACGCUCAUGCACGAAAGCGUGGGGAGCAAACAGG
rnacentral:rRNA from 1 species